rnacentral:lncRNA from 1 species
ACUUUUCAAACUUGUUUUGUUUUAUAUAACCAUGAUGUGGUGACUGGAGACCUACAUUCGACUGGGAAGAGCGAGCCGGAGCAUGUGCCGGACGCGCGCAGCAGGACGCACUCGUCACCUGUAAGUGGACCUCUGGCUCCCACCCGCGGUCACGGGGGCGAGCGAGGAACCGCCGCUGGAGACGCUCCCUCGCUGGUCGGGAGGGGCGGGCGGCGGGAGGGGACACGGGUGCGCGUGGGGCGCCCGCAGGCAGCGGAUCGGGAGGGUGGGGACGGCCGCGCGGCAGGAGGACGCACGAACCUGGUUGGUACGCGAGCUUCCCCAGACCCACCCAGCCGCCCACCCUCCCCGAGAUCGGGGCGGCCGGGGGAGCGGAGGGCGCCGCCCGAGCAGCGGCCGCUCCCGGGGGACGCGCGGGGCGGGGCGGGACCUGCAGGUGCAGGGGCGGGGCCCGGGGGGGCUGCGCGGCAGGUGCCGGGGCCCGACCCCACGCUCUGCCCUGCCCUCCCCCCCAGCGCGCGAUGCCGGGUGCGGGCGCCCAGCCGGGGGUGGGGGGCGAGCCCAGCGCCCCGGGAGGCGGGAGGCGGCGCGAGCACCCGAGCCCGGGGGCGCCAACAAGUAGUUUGCGGUCGGGGGCGGCUCCCCCGGCGGGAGGCAGGGGCGACCUGGGGGCGGCGCGCGGACCUGCAGGCCCCCGCCCCGGGUGCGCGGGGGGUGCGCGGUGUGAGCCGGGGCGGGGGACCCGGGGUCCAGGGGGGCGGGGGGCGGGGGCCCGCGGCUCCCGGGGGCCUCGCCCUGCCCCGGAGCGACCCCGCUCCCCGGCCCCCGGCGCCCGCCCCCCGCGGCCGUGUGUCUGGCGGAGGGGGAUGGGGCGGGGGACGCUGGCGCUCGUCGGCCCAGACGCGGAGCCUGCUUAGCGGUUCCCUUUCCCAAGUAAUAAUAACAUCAACAACAGCAGCGGCAGCCACGGUAGUGAUGUGCGGAGGAAACUGGAUCAGGAAAUUAGUCACGGUCUCCCUGGUGAGAGGCCGCGGCGGGGAGGUUCGGUGCUUGGCCUCGGGCGGGGGGUGUCGCCGGGUCGUGGGGGCGCGGGGCGCCGCCGGCCGUGCGGGUCAGGGUCCGGGUCGGGGUCCGGGUCGGGGUCCGUGCAUGGGGGCCCAGCGGGCCGAGGGGCCCGCAGAGACUCCCCGCCCAAGGGGCUGCCCCGGGCCGGGAGGGGACGGGGUCGGGGGGGGGGGAGUGGGCGGCAAGGGGGGCGUGAGGGUUGGGGGGCAGGGCUGUGCGCCGAGGGCAGGGUUCCCGUGCUCGGGACCGCGCGGGGGCAGGGGGGGCGGAGAGCCGUGUGGGGCCGGAGCAGGUGUCGGGGCGGGCUCCGGGGCUUUCCGGGGGUCGGGGGGUCCCGGGUGGGGGUCCGGCGCGGGGACCCGCCGUGCGCGCGUGCCCCGGGGGGGCUCGGCUGUGCCCGCGCGCGUGCGGCCCGGGACCGGGACCGGGACGGGGACCCGGACGGGGCGGGGGAGAGCGUGGGAGGGCGGGGGAGGGCGGGGGAGGGCGGGGGGAGGGCCGCCGAGGGCGGCUGCGGCUCGGCGGCCGCCCGGGCCCUAA